rnacentral:rRNA from 1 species
UACGUAGGGGGCAAGCGUUGUCCGGAUUUACUGGGCGUAAAGAGCGCGCAGGCGGUCAGAUAAGUCGAAUGUGAAAGCCCCCGGCUCAACUGGGGAGGGUCAUUCGAUACUGUUCGACUCGAAGGCAGGAGAGGGAAGCGGAAUUCCCGGUGUAGCGGUGAAAUGCGCAGAUAUCGGGAAGAACACCCGUGGCGAAGGCGGCUCUCUGGGACGGUACUGACGCUGAGACGCGAAAGCGUGGGGAGCGAACAGG